rnacentral:rRNA from 1 species
AAAAGAAACUAACAAGGAUUCCCCUAGUAACGGCGAGUGAAGCGGGAAGAGCUCAAAUUUGAAAUCUGGUAGCCUUCGGUUGCCCGAGUUGUAAUCUAGAGAAGUGUUUUCCGUGCCGGCCCAUGUACAAGUCCCUUGGAACAGGGCGUCAUAGAGGGUGAGAAUCCCGUCCUUGACAUGGACCCCCGGUGCUUUGUGAUACACUUUCAACGAGUCGAGUUGUUUGGGAAUGCAGCUCAAAAUGGGUGGUGAAUUCCAUCUAAAGCUAAAUAUUGGCGAGAGACCGAUAGCGAACAAGUACCGUGAGGGAAAGAUGAAAAGCACUUUGGAAAGAGAGUUAAACAGUACGUGAAAUUGUUGAAAGGGAAACGAUUGAAGUCAGUCAUGCUCUUAGGAUUCAGCCGUUCUGCGGUGUAUUUCCUUUGAGUGGGGUCAACAUCAGUUUUGAUCGAUGGAUAAAGGCACGAGGAAGGUAGCACUCUCGGGUGAACUUAUAGCCUCGCGUCAUAUACAUUGAUUGGGACUGAGGAACGCAGCAUGCCUUUAUGGCCGGGAUUCGUCCACGUACAUGCUUAG